GGUAUGAGAUGGACCCGCGUCUGAUUAGCUAGUUGGUGAGGUAACGGCCCACCAAGGCGACGAUCAGUAGCCGGCCUGAGAGGGCGACCGGCCACAUUGGGACUGAGACACGGCCCAAACUCCUACGGGAGGCAGCAGUGGGGAAUAUUGCACAAUGGGGGAAACCCUGAUGCAGCGACGCCGCGUGAGUGAAGAAGUAUUUCGGUAUGUAAAGCUCUAUCAGCAGGGAAGAAGAAAGACGGUACCUGACUAAGAAGCCCCGGCUAACUACGUGCCAGCAGCCGCGGUAAUACGUAGGGGGCAAGCGUUAUCCGGAUUUACUGGGUGUAAAGGGAGCGUAGACGGCUGUGCAAGUCUGAAGUGAAAGCCCAGGGCUCAACCCUGGGACUGCUUUGGAAACUGUGGAGCUAGAGUGCUGGAGAGGUAAGUGGAAUUCCUAGUGUAGCGGUGAAAUGCGUAGAUAUUAGGAGGAACACCAGUGGCGAAGGCGGCUUACUGGACAGUAACUGACGUUGAGGCUCGAAAGCGUGGGGAGCAAACAGGAUUAGAUACCCUGGUAGUCCACGCGGUAAACGAUGAAUACUAGGUGUUGGAGAGCAAAGCUUUUCGGUGCC
rnacentral:rRNA from 1 species